ensembl:lncRNA
CCAGUCACCUGUUUGCAAUUCCACCUCCCAGCAUAUAAGCCAGCUCUGUCAUUCACUCCCUGCUCCACCGUGGACGCGCACAUCCUGCGUCGACUCGUGACCACCAGAGCUUCUUGGACACGACGCUGCCCUCGUACCCCUGCCGGUUCCUGUUUGGGUUUCCUACCUACCCCUUCAGCUGAGUGUCUUCCCGUGACCAUCUGCUACAAAGCAUUACCGGGUAACGAAUACACCUGAUGAAGAUCAGAAAUAUUCAAGCAGAAACCUUCAGCUUCCACGAAGGUGGAAAUCAUUCUGCCAUGAAGACCUAACAACCUUCAAAGACAAUUUGAAAAUGGGUGACACGGACCUUCCUGGAGGAUGUUGCACAAGGAGUUUUGUCAUUGUUGCCACAUUCUGGUCUCGACUCGACUCCAUU